rnacentral:misc_RNA from 1 species
GAUGAAGAACGCAGCGAAUUGCGAUAAGUAAUGUGAAUUGCAGAUUUUCAGUGAAUCAUCGAAUCUUUGAACGCAUCUUGCGCUCCUUGGUAUUCCGAGGAGCAUGCCUGUUUGAGUGUCAUUCAAGUUCUCAACCACACACUUUCUGAGGUGUAUGGCUUGGACAAUGGGGGGCGAUUUUGCAGGCUUUUCCAAGUCUGCUCCCCUGAAAUGCAUUAGUGGUAUCUGAGCAACUACUAUGCAGGUGUGAUAAUUUAUCUACAUCCUUUUGGUAGUGGGCUGCAUGACCGCUUCUAACGACCCACAUUUUGAUGAAUUUGACCUCAAAUCAGGUAGGACUACCCGCUGAACUUAAGCAUAUCAAUAAGCGGAGGA